GAAAUGCGAUAAGUAAUGUGAAUUGCAGAAUUCCGUGAAUCAUCGAAUCUUUGAACGCACAUUGCGCCCUCUGGCAUUCCGGGGGGCAUGCCUGUCCGAGCGUCAUUGCAACCUUCAAGCACGGCUUGUGUGUUGAACGUCUUGUGUCUUUAGUGAUAAUGACUCGUUCAAAAGGCAAUGGCAGCAUCGUGUUGGUGUCUGAGCAGUAUGGGGUUUUACAUCUUCAAAGCGCUCUUUAAUGACCCAGCUUCGUGAUCGCCUUGAACAAAUUUUUUUUUUUCGUGGUUGACCUCGGAUCAGGUAGGGAUACCCGCUGAACUUAA
rnacentral:misc_RNA from 1 species